GCGUUUCGCCGAAGCUUUCUCAAAAGUGAAUGAAUCAUUUUGAAUGAAUCAUUCAUUCACUUUUGAGAAAGCUUCGGCGAAACGC